rnacentral:rRNA from 1 species
UACGGGGGGGCAAGCGUUGUUCGGAAUUACUGGGCGUAAAGGGCUCGUAGGUGGCCAACUAAGUCAGACGUGAAAUCCCUCGGCUUAACCGGGGAACUGCGUCUGAUACUGGAUGGCUUGAGUUUGGGAGAGGGACGCGGAAUUCCAGGUGUAGCGGUGAAAUGCGUAGAUAUCUGGAGGAACACCGGUGGCGAAGGCGGCCUGCUGGGCAGUAGCUGACGCUGAUGCGCGACAGCGUGGGGAGCAAACAGG